UUUACCUGCUAUACAUGUGUUUUUUAAACAUCUCAGUUAGUAAUAUUCCCACUCUCUCCAGCAGUCAGGACCUAAAGGACUGGAUUUUGCUGUGGGAGAUAGCCCAGCCGUCAGAGCUCUGUGCCCAUAGCAGGUGGAAGUGGCCACCGAGACCAAGUGGGUUUGCAUGCAGUAAUUCCAUACGGUGGUUUUGGUGACCUAGAAUGAUCUUUUGCAUGAAAUGUCUCCUGAGACUUCACAAAGUCACUGCAUUGCUCAAAUCCAGAAACUCUAUGGCAUGCUGCCUGUGGACUUUGGACUGAAGCCUUCAACAUCAACUCUUAGCUGAAUUUCCAGCCUGCUGGCCUGCCCUGUGGAUUUUGGACUUGCUGGCCCUCAAAAUCAUGGCAACUGGGCAGAAAUACGUAUGUACAGACAUUCAACGGCCUUCACCACCCAAACCACUGGCCUCACUGCACAAUUAUUCCUUGGGGUCUGCCGUCAUCCUAGAAUAUAUAGAACGGAGGACUCACCCAAUUUACUAUUUUAGAAAUAUUCUCUAAAUGUGAACAAGUGUCUCACAGCUCACAAAAUCCCAUCAUCUUUCCCAGGGUCCCGCCACUGGCAGACGUCACUUCCCUGGGCCCCCCUCCCAGGUACAAUGGGCAGAGGGCUCCCCAUAAUGAAAUGCAGUGAUGUCUACUGGCAGUCGCCCAACCAGGCUGGAACCAUUUGGAGAGGAAAUCCACAUGAGUCCUUCUAAAUGGCUUGGGGUCUGCAGAAAAGGAAGUUUGACCAGAGGGUGGCAGGACCCUCCUGGUAUCUUGUCAUGGGGUCAUGGUCAACACCCAAGCCAUCGGAUGACAUCUGCAUUGUGCAUCAACAUGGCUGGAGGCCUGUACCUUCGACGUCCCUCUAACGAAAGCCCCUACCUGUGUCUGGGUUGGAGAUGAAUAAGGACAACCCAAUGUUGAACUUAGUUGAACUUAGUUGAACAUUGCUGUCUUUGUGAAAAGAGCUUCAUUACCACUGGUCCAUGUGGCCUCCUUGACCACGUUGUUCUGGCCAUCAUGGCACCCAGCUUGUCCUCUGAGAGCAAAUGGGCUCCAUUGAGAACAGGGAACCUCCAUUGCUGAUGAUGAUGGUCCACAUGUUGAGUGGGAAGGUUCUAGAGAUGUAUUAUCUAACAUGAUAGCGACCUGACCCCU